UACAGAGGGUGCAAGCGUUGUUUGGAAUUAUUGGGCGUAAAGCGCGUGUAGGCGGCUUUGCAAGUCGGGUGUGAAAGCCCUCAGCUCAACUGAGGAAGUGCGCCCGAAACUGCAGAGCUUGAGUGCCGGAGAGGGUGGCGGAAUUCCCCAAGUAGAGGUGAAAUUCGUAGAUAUGGGGAGGAACACCGGUGGCGAAGGCGGCCACCUGGACGGUAACUGACGCUGAGACGCGAAAGCGUGGGUAGCAAACAGG
rnacentral:rRNA from 1 species